UAGUCAACCUGGCAGGGGAGAUCAAGAAGGUGGUUCACCCAGGGCGAGGCACUCCAGCUGUGCUGACCCCUGCAAAUUCCCCAAAUGUGGGAGUCUUGACAGCAUUAUUUCUGGUAGUGGGGGACUGCGUUCGCACUCUCUCCUG
ensembl:snRNA U1 U1 spliceosomal RNA